UCGAAGUUCCUCGAACUGGUGGCGCCAUC
rnacentral:sRNA from 1 species